UACGUAGGGUGCGAGCGUUAAUCGGAAUUACUGGGCGUAAAGCGUGCGCAGGCGGUUCGUUAUGUCUGGUGUGAAAGCCCCGGGCUUAACCUGGGAAUUGCAUUGGAAACUGGCGGGCUGGAGUGUGGCAGAGGGGGGUGGAAUUCCACGUGUAGCAGUGAAAUGCGUAGAGAUGUGGAGGAACACCGAUGGCGAAGGCAGCCCCCUGGGCUAACACUGACGCUCAUGCACGAAAGCGUGGGGAGCAAACAGG
rnacentral:rRNA from 1 species